rnacentral:rRNA from 1 species
AGUCUACGGGAGGCAGCAGUGAGGAAUCUUCCACAAUGGGCGAAAGCCUGAUGGAGCAACGCCGCGUGCAGGACGAAGGCCUUGGUUGUAAACUGCUUUAUAAGUGAGGAAUAUGACGGUAACUUAUGAAUAAGGAUCGGCUAACUACGUGCCAGCAGCCGCGGUAAUGACU